GGUCCCAUCGUCUAGUGGUUAGGACAUCGCCCUUUCACGGCGGUAACAUGGGUUCAAAUCCCGUUGGGAUCACCA
rnacentral:tRNA from 3 species